AUGGCCAGGGAGAUAAAUUGGCAUGCUCGAGCACUUGUUCUAAAAAUCCUUGGCAAUUAUGUUCAAGAAUACAACCGUGUUGAUGCAACAGUGUGGCCAGACGAUAUUCCCUUUGAUGUAGCAAGUUUACCUCAUUAUAAACAUUGGUUCCAACAAAAUGGUAUGUGCACAGUAUUCUUCGAUUCUCAAUGCUUGGGCGGCCUAGAUAAACCUAUUCCAUAUCCUCGAGAUAGCAUCGAAUGGACUGGCUACAUGCCUAGUGGUCCGCCACUGGCUCAAAUUGUAAGUGUUUGUUUCAUUUUCAUUGUACUAUUUACAUCAUAUAGUAAUAAAUGUGUCAUGCAAUAUUUGUUUUGUCACUUGCAAGGGUUAUGCAAGAUAAAGAAUGCCACAUGGGGUAUUAAAUGUGCUAUUACUAGUGGAUGCAAGAAGAUAGGGAAAACUAUAUUGAGGUCUUGUGUAGGAAAUUUGUUGGAUUUGAACUUGGAGCCUGGGCUGCAAAGCAUGCUUACUGAGGCUAGGUUACCACUGUACAUUGAAGAUAUUCCAUUUGAUGAAGAGGUUUUUGAUAUUGCUAACCCACCAAGCCCCCCAAAAGAGAGCAAAUCUGAUGUGUUCAAUGAAUGGAUAUACUCCGGCAAAGGUUUUACAACAUACCUUAAGGCUGGUGAAGCGAUGAGAGAUGGGGAACCGACAACACAAGAUGUAGGUCAAGUUACCCAAUAA
rnacentral:rRNA from 1 species